rnacentral:misc_RNA from 1 species
AAUGUCUCAUUUGGGAAGUCAUCCAAAUUAGCUGCCUUAGAGGCUUCUGGAGCCACUGGAUAUGUUCUGGUUGCUUCUCCAACGGUUGGCUCAUUCCGAAGGAACAGAACAGUGAAAGGAAAAAGGCAACCUCCCAUCUUUAAAGAGGGUGAUAUAAUUAAAGAAGGACAGGUGAUAGGGUAUUUGGAUCAAUUUGGUACUGAACUUCCUGUGAAGUCAGAUGUCGCUGGAGAAGUCUUAAAGCUCCUCUUUGAUGAUGGAGAUGCUGUUGGUUAUGGAGAC